rnacentral:rRNA from 1 species
UGGGGAAUUUUGGACAAUGGGCGAAAGCCUGAUCCAGCAAUGCCGCGUGUGUGAAGAAGGCCUUCGGGUUGUAAAGCACUUUUGUCCGGAAAGAAAUCCUUGGCUCUAAUACAGUCGGGGGAUGACGGUACCGGAAGAAUAAGCACCGGCUAACUACGUGCCAGCAGCCGCGGUAAUACGUAGGGUGCAAGCGUUAAUCGGAAUUACUGGGCGUAAAGCGUGCGCAGGCGGUUUGCUAAGACCGAUGUGAAAUCCCCGGGCUCAACCUGGGAACUGCAUUGGUGACUGGGCAGGCUAGAGUAUGGCAGAGGGGGGUAGAAUUCCACGUGUAGCAGUGAAAUGCGUAGAGAUGUGGAGGAAUACCGAUGGCGAAGGCAGCCCCCUGGGCCAAUACUGACGCUCAUGCACGAAAGCGUGGGGAGCAAACAGGAUUAGAUACCCUGGUAGUCCACGCCCUAAACGAUGUCAACUAGUUGUUGGGGACUUCAUUUCCUUAGUAACGUAGCUAACGCGUGAAGUUGACCGCCUGGGGAGUACGGUCGC